rnacentral:rRNA from 1 species
GACGAACGCUGGCGGCGUGCUUAACACAUGCAAGUCGAACGGAAAGGCCCUGCUUUUGUGGGGUGCUCGAGUGGCGAACGGGUGAGUAACACGUGAGUAACCUGCCCUUGAAUUUGGGAUAACUUCAGGAAACUGGGGCUAAUACCGGAUAGGAGCUACUGCUGCAUGGUGGGGGUUGGAAAGUUUCGGCGGUUGGGGAUGGACUCGCGGCUUAUCAGCUUGUUGGUGGGGUAGUGGCUUACCAAGGCUUUGACGGGUAGCCGGCCUGAGAGGGUGACCGGCGACAUUGGGACUGAGAUACGGCCCAGACUCCUACGGGAGGCAACAGUGGAGAAUAUUGCACAAUGAGCGGAAGCCUGAUGCAGCAACGCCGCGUGCGGGAUGACGGCCUUCGGGUUAUAAACCGCUGUCGCCUGUGACGAAGCGUGAGUGACGGUAAUGGGUAAAGAAGCACCGGCUAACUACGUG